UACGUAGGGGGCUAGCGUUGUCCGGAAUCAUUGGGCGUAAAGGGCGCGUAGGCGGUCAGCAGAAGUCAGUUGUGAAAUCUCCGGGCUUAACUCGGAAAGGUCAACUGAUACUGUGCGACUAGAGUGCGGAAGGGGCAACUGGAAUUCUCGGUGUAGCGGUGAAAUGCGUAGAUAUCGAGAGGAACACCGGCGGCGAAGGCGGGUUGCUGGGCCGACACUGACGCUGAUGCGCGAAAGCCAGGGGAGCGAACGGG
rnacentral:rRNA from 1 species